rnacentral:lncRNA from 1 species
UAUGAUAACCUAUCCAAGAAAAAUCAAAACUUUCUUCAACCUACUUCUCGUAAAGAAGCGUGAAAUUUUAUAGCAAAAGUUCCACAAGCACAUACAUGGCACUUAUAUUUGCAUAUUCACAGAAAUGGAAAAUGAUAUAAAGAGGAAUAUUUUAGGCUGACAGUCCGACACUAUGUCCGAUGCGGUUCAGAUGCAUGUAUUUCUAUGGCUAGAUAUGCAUAUAAUUUUACAUAUACACUGGGAACGUGCAUCUGUCCUGCUACCAAAGUGACCAUUCUACAUUCCCUAUGAAAUUUGUGCUUCUGCCAGGCAUUUGUGCGAACAUAUGACAUGCAUAAUGCAUGAUAAAUGAAGAAAAACAAGAGGACUGGAGAUUAAAGUGAGAAUGAUUCCUAUAUUUUCAUAAGUUUCUAAAUUGCUCCCAAUCCCACAAAAAUAAAAUAGGAGAUACUCCUUUCUCUCCGUAAUACCUUGAUGUAGAAUGUUACUAACCACUUGCUGAUUUUUGAAAUAGGUAUACAACUACUGGCUUCAAUGUUUUCCAUCGACUCCGCAUAUAUACACAUCGGUAAACUGUACAUUGGUAUGCACUGCAAGCGCAACACUUUUGAUGUGAAACUGAAACUACACACUUCAGAGAAGAAGAUUAAGAAUAGCACAGAACCACAUGACGUGAG